CUGCACUGUCCUGCAGUGGAUGUGUUUCCUGAGGCUGAGGUCCCUGGGAACGGGCUGAUGUGGGUCCUCAGCCACAGUGGGAACAUUCAGGAGCUCUCCCAAUGGUGCAAAAGGAAUAGGACAGGUAGAGAACUCAUUAAACUUCUUUAUCAUUCUAUCACUAACAUUUUGCUCUAUCUACAUCAGGCAGUGUCAGAGCAUCAAGAGAGAGAAGCUCCCGCUGGGAAGAUGUUGCAGAUCCUGCAGUCAUCCUGCUCUGCAACCUCUCUUGUUUGGGUGAGAAGCUGCUCAUUAACUUCUGCUGCUCAGGAGAUAUGGACAAAACCACAAGUGAGUGGCUCAGCUUCGAUAUCCAACCCAUCCACAUCCCACAGGGAUCCCAGCUGGUGCAUUUGCUGUACAAGGAUCUUCACAGGGAGAGGAAUUUGCCGAGCCCUGAGCAGUGGCUUCUGUUCCUGCUGUGGUUGGAUCCCCUCUCGGAUGUCUCGGAGCUUCUCCGUGAGUUUCGGAAGCAGAAACGCGUUUUCUUAUUGGGCACUGAAGGUGCUGCUGGAAUUGUUCAGCACGUGA
rnacentral:lncRNA from 13 species